CAGUCGCCGCGGUAAAACGGAGGAUCCAAGCGUUAUCCGGAAUAAUUGGGUUUAAAGGGUCCGUAGGCGGUCUUGUAAGUCAGUGGUGAAAGCCCAUCGCUCAACGGUGGAACGGCCAUUGAUACUGCAGGACUUGAAUUAUUGGGAAGUAACUAGAAUAUGUAGUGUAGCGGUGAAAUGCUUAGAGAUUACAUGGAAUACCAAUUGCGAAGGCAGGUUACUACCAAUUGAUUGACGCUGAUGGACGAAAGCGUGGGUAGCGAACAGGAUUAGAUACCCCCGUAGUCCCUGUCUCUUAUAC
rnacentral:rRNA from 1 species